GUGGGGAAUAUUGGACAAUGGGCGAAAGCCUGAUCCAGCCAUGCCGCGUGUGUGAAGAAGGUCUUCGGAUUGUAAAGCACUUUAAGUUGGGAGGAAGGGCAGUAAGUUAAUACCUUGCUGUUUUGACGUUACCAACAGAAUAAGCACCGGCUAACUUCGUGCCAGCAGCCGCGGUAAUACGAAGGGUGCAAGCGUUAAUCGGAAUUACUGGGCGUAAAGCGCGCGUAGGUGGUUCAGCAAGUUGAAGGUGAAAUCCCCGGGCUCAACCUGGGAACUGCCUCCAAAACUACUGAGCUAGAGUACGGUAGAGGGUAGUGGAAUUUCCUGUGUAGCGGUGAAAUGCGUAGAUAUAGGAAGGAACACCAGUGGCGAAGGCGACUACCUGGACUGAUACUGACACUGAGGUGCGAAAGUGUGGGGAGCAAACAGGAUUAGAAACCCGGGUAGUCC
rnacentral:rRNA from 1 species